rnacentral:tRNA from 1 species
GCCACCGUAGCUCAGUUGGUAGAGCGUCCCGUUGAAGCCGGGAAGGUCGCUGGUUCGAUUCCAGCCGUUGGCA